rnacentral:rRNA from 1 species
GGCGGCAGGCUUAACACAUGCAAGUCGAGCGGGCGUAGCAAUACGUCAGCGGCAGACGGGUGAGUAACGCGUGGGAACAUACCUUUUGGUUCGGAACAACACAGGGAAACUUGUGCUAAUACCGGAUAAGCCCUUACGGGGAAAGAUUUAUCGCCGAAAGAUUGGCCCGCGUCUGAUUAGCUAGUUGGUGAGGUAACGGCUCACCAAGGCGACGAUCAGUAGCUGGUCUGAGAGGAUGAUCAGCCACAUUGGGACUGAGACACGGCCCAAACUCCUACGGGAGGCAGCAGUGGGGAAUAUUGGACAAUGGGCGCAAGCCUGAUCCAGCCAUGCCGCGUGAGUGAUGAAGGCCCUAGGGUUGUAAAGCUCUUUUGUGCGGGAAGAUAAUGACGGUACCGCAAGAAUAAGCCCCGGCUAACUUCGUGCCAGCAGCCGCGGUAAUACGAAGGGGGCUAGCGUUGCUCGGAAUCACUGGGCGUAAAGGGUGCGUAGGCGGGUCUUUAAGUCAGGGGUGAAAUCCUGGAGCUCAACUCCAGAACUGCCUUUGAUACUGAGGAUCUUGAGUUCGG